GAGUGACACACAUAAGCAACCCUGAGUCAUAGCUAGAGUAGGAUCACUUGGGAAGUGCAGUGUCUUAGCCCAACCAGGAAAGGCUGAGCUGGGUCCAAGGAAGGCUCAAGAUUUGCCCACAGAGAAGAGGAGUUAAAGAAGAAGGCGUGUAAUCAUGGAGCUGACUUCCCCAGGAAGGAAAAAGAAGUAGAGAUUUGUUUUAGAGAUUUCAAAAUAAAAGGCACCAAAUCAGAAGAUAUCUAUCCAAGUCCCCAUAGGUGAGAUGUAUAAUGGCUCAUCAAAAGAUGCAAUGGAGUAGAAGGUGAAAGACACAAGCUGCAACCUGGAAGAAUCCCCGAAGAGCUCCUUGGAUGAAUGACUCCCAGGAGGCAUCACAUGGGACAUGUUCUUUACAGCAAACGAACUGCAGAAUCACACAGGAAGGCUGCAGUUGACCACCUGACAGAAAUCUAUAAUAACCUAGGAGGAAAAUCUCAAUGAAAGACUAUUCAUGUAUGUGAAGGGUUUUAUUAAUUAACUGUUGUGGAAAGAUCCAGCCUUUUAGGUGACACUAUUCCCUGGGGAUGGGUCAUGAGUUACAUAAGAAGAAAGUGAGCUGAGUAUAGCUUGCUUCCAUCAUUUCAUUCCAUUCUGCUUCUUUACUGCGAGUGUGGUGUGAUCAGUUGUCUCAGGCUCUUGCCCAAUGUCUUCCCUACUAUGAUGGACUCUCACCUGGAAUUGUGAGCAAUUCAUCUCUUUUUCUUCUGAGUUAUGUUUUUUGUAAUAUGUUAUUACAGUAACUAACAAAUAAACCAACAUAAGUACUAAUAGUACCAGGCUCUGACAUUUAAAGGUAUAGAUUGUGGUCACUUCUUAUUUAUAAUGUCCAAAAUUAUAGUUUAGCAACACUGACUAUGGCAUUAAGGCCAUAUAAAUAAUUUGUCUCAUCAUUUGAAAUACAUCAUUAUAUUAAAGGUUUGUUUGUUACUCUAGAAACUUUUGGAAACCUGAGAAAAUGCUGAAAUAUUUUGUGACCUAUAUGAAAAUGUCAAAUCGAUGUUCGCAACAGCAUUUUGCUUAUGUUUGGCAUUUCAUAGGGAAGCUCAACAUACAAUACAAUAGAAUUAAUGAAUGAGGUUUUGAACUUUGCUUUCAAACAUAUUGUGGAGGAUUGAAUGAGACGUGACUCCCAUAGGCUUAUCACGUCUUUGAACACCUGGUUCCCAGUUGGUAGCUCUGUUUGGGGAGGUUAGGGAACUUUUAAGACAUGGAUGGAGCUUUGCUGUAGGCCAAAUGUCAUUUUGGGUGGGGUUUGAGAGUUUAUAGCCUCACCCCACUUCCAGCUUCCCCUCUUUGCUUGUGAUUGAAGAUAUGAUUGCUCGGCUUCCUUCUCCAGCCCACUGCUGUCACACCUCUGUUCUAUUAGACUCUUCCUCUGCAACCUUAUUAAGCCAAAUUAAACUGUCUCUUCCAUAGGUCACUUUUGGACAUGAUAUUUUAUCACAGUAAUAAAAAUAACUAAUACCUGUAUCUUUUUUUGCCAGGCAAGUACCCUACCACUGACACACACACACACCCCUCCACACACACACAGUACUUUUCAAAGCUCUUGGGAAUGAAUGUAGGACUUGAAAUAGUAACUUAAUUGCACUGAACAUUGCUCUCCUGACUCAAUGCAUUUCAUGUUGCUAUAAAAGAAUGUCAUAGCUACACAAUUCAUAAGGAAGAAACCUACUGAAAGUUGGUAAUCUAAGAACAUCGGUACCGACAUAUACAAAGAGCCUCGUGCUACCUGGUAACAUGGACAAAGAGAAAAAAGGAUGUCAUGCUGGACUCACUUUACAAAAACCUACCCUUGCAACAGCUGACCCUCUAAGAUAACAGCUACAUCAUUUACUUGUGAAGACAAAUGUCAUUGUGACUUGUACUUUGCAGAUUAACUUUCUAACUCAGUGAUUUUGGACACAUUCAAGAUAUAUCAAGCACUUUUCUAUUUGAUAAUUUGGAAGACAGAUUUAUUAUCCCACCACACAGCAAGUGGAUACAACAUUGCUUACUGAUUCAAAAUCUCCCCGUAAAAUUGGCAAUUUAUUUUUGAUCUUGCAAUUUGUAUAUACAUAUAUAUGUAUAUAUACAUAUAUAAAUAUAUAUCAUAUCAUAUCAUGUGUAUGUAUUAUCAGAUUCUUGGGAAAAAUAAUUGAACUUUGAGGUCCUUUCCUAUGAUGUAGAGCGAGUCCAUCUAGCUCUAAUGGCAUGUGGGUUGUAUGCUCCUAACAAUUCAAUGUUGAAAGGCUGAUGUCAGGAAAUCACUGCAAGUUGCACACCAUCCUGUUCAACACAGCAUGCUCAGGACAGUCAGGGCUACAUAGUGAGACACUCAUAAAGAAGAAAGAAACAGAUUCAUAUGCUCAAAUUUUGGACAUUAUAACAUUGUCAUCCACAGAGAUCAUAAGCAGGAAACAUGCAACCAACUUACAAAAACAUAGUAAUCUUUAUUUAUUUAAGACGGAAUCUCACUAUGUAGUUCCAAGACUAACCUGGAACUGUCUAUGUAGACCAGUCUGGCCUCCCAAGCGCUGGGAUAAAAGGAAUGCUAACUUGCUCAGCCUAAAAAAGUCAUGUUUUAAGUAAUUUUACAGUUUUGUGUUGGGUCAUAUUUACAACUAUCUCUGAGACAUGGGUUGGUCAUGGUGUAAGCUUGGCUUCUGUGGCAGUUAUUUUGUUAUCAACCUGACUAGGUUUAGAACCACCCAGAAGAUCGAAGGGUGUCUAUGAGGGCAUUUCAGUGAAGACUAACUCAGAGGAAUAACCCACUCUGCAUGUGACUGGCAUUAUCCCAUAGGCUGGGGACUUGGACAGAAUAAGAAAGAAACAGGAGAAGGUAAGAUGAGCAUUACUAUUCAUUUCUUAGCUAUCCCUGGCCAUUGCUGGUUCCUAGGAUUUCAUGGUGCCCAACGCAGAAUCUCAAUAAGAGACUACUAAAGACAACUCCCCUUCAUCUGUUCACCUAUCACUAUCACACUGAUCUGAGACCAGAGAGUGUCUGUACCCUGAAAUUCAUAUUGGCCCAAGACUUAAAAUUGAGUUUCAGCUAGUCCAUCACCUGGCAGACUGGAUUAACAGUAAACUAAGGCCAGAAUGCCCACUCAACAAAGGGCACCAGCUCAUAUCAGUGACCAGCAAGGACCUGUAGAAGCUUGGAUGUUUGUGCACCCAAACCUGCAGACAGGCCACACAUCCCUUCCUUGACCAUGUUAAAGAGCUGACAUGAAUGAAGUUGCCACAAGGGUGGACAAGACAAAAACAAAACAAAAAAAAAGGAAAAAACAACUGAAUUUGUAGCCAUCAGCUAGAAAAAGAAUGUAUGCCACCAAUAUAGAGAAAUGUAAGCUGUAAACAACUUCCUUGACUGUAAAAAUAUCAUAGGUGGCCUGGCACAUGAAGCUUCUGAUCUGGAGGUUCCAAGAGGCCACGUGAUGGAGUGGGGGAAAGGAGCUGCCGCUGAUUUGAACUUUGAAAGAUGACGUAAAUGGAUUUCUUCUGCCUUCUGCCCUCCGUCCUUGACACCUUGGGCUUAUUAAUUUUCCCAUCUCACAUACAAUGAUUGGUGUUGUGUGCCAUGUUGACCACUUGCUUUCCAUUUCAUACAGUUUCCGUGAAGUUCUACUGACCACCCUUACUCUCUUGAGAGCUGAGCAACGUUUUGUCCUCCUCUUGCCUGCUUGUUUAAGAGCACCCUGGAUGACUCCAUGGCACUUCCCUUAUCCCUAAUCACAUUCACCUGAGGUCAACACAAGGAAUCGUGGCCUUUGCAAUAGCUUCAAAUUUGUCAAGGGCAAGUGAAUCAAUUUCUAAUUCCCAGUAUGUAUCUGUGUUUCCUUAGUGUGUGGUAAUUUUCAUAUGGCCUCAUGGUGAUUUGCCAAUUGUUAUCUGUGUUCUUACUUUCUUCAUCCACUUUGAUUGUGUAUUUAUUUAUAAGAGAAUAUAUGCCUAAUUUAUCUUCAUUUCCCUUAUGUCUUAGAGCUUCCCUGAUACAUAACACGAAGGAUAUGUUAGUAAGAUUCAUUGAGUAAGUCAAGAUGUCUAAAGUGCCAACGUAGUUACAGAGUUAGUGGUGUCAGUAAUGUCUAUGAGAGAAUGUAUAAGUAUAUCCUCUCCCCAGAGGAUUCAGGUUAGGUAAAUUACAGCACUCAUAAUGCCUCAGUUUUUUGUUUCUUUCUUUCUUAUAUUUUUUUUGUAAGAUGAGUAUAACAGUAUCUAUUUUAUGAAAUUGUUUACCCCCAAAAUCAUGCAUUUCUAUUCAUAAAGUGAUUAGAGCAGUGUCUGGUUCAAAGUAGACACACAAUAAAUACUUCAUGAAGUGCCAACAAAACACAGAUAACAAUCUCUUAAAUACUUGCCUUUUACUAUCUGCUUAAUUUUGAACUCACCUGAAAUAAAUUCCUGAGACCAUGACUUAAAACAUUAAAAACAUAGUACAUAAUUAUUUUAUUGUCAUUAUGGCUCUAAAGUAAACAUUUCAGGGAGGAAAUGGUUCACCAUACACAAAAGGGAUAGUGUGCACUUAUAUGGUAUCCUCACACCCAUCACCAUUUCAGAAAUUUCUCAGCUUGUCCAGAACCAUCCUAUUUUCUUUUGUUUUGUAAAUUUUUAAAUUUUUUUUUGAAUUAGAAAGAUUAUUUUACAUGUCAAUACCAGUUCCCUCUCCCUCCCCUCCUCCCCUGCCCCACC